UACGCAGGGGGCUAGCGUUGCUCGGCGUGACGGGGCGUAAAGGGCGCGUCGGCGGACUGCACAGUCAGGCGUGAAAUUCCUGGGCUUAAGCUGGGGACUGCGUCUGAGACGUGUGAUCUAGAGUGAGGAAGAGGGGCGUGGAAUUUCCAGUGUAGAGGUGAAAUUCGUAGAUAUUGGAAAGAACACCGGUGGCGAAGGCGGCGACCUGGUCCUUGACUGACGCUGAGGCGCGAAAGCGUGGGGAGCAAACAGG
rnacentral:rRNA from 1 species